rfam:Felis catus isolate Cinnamon breed Abyssinian chromosome B1, whole genome shotgun sequence.
GCCUGGGUGGCUCAGUCAGUUGAGCAUCUGACUCUUGAUUUCGGCUCAGGUCAAGAUCCCAGGGUUGUGGGAUCAAGCCCCACACUGGGCU